CCAAAACAUCCUCUAGUACACGAGGGUACUCUAAUGCAUAAAGGAAAAGCUACUAACUAGGCUCACUUAGGGCGCUAUGCCCUUGCCGCGGUCCUCGCUCGGCUCGCCUCUGUGUGUACCUGUACCCCAAAACCACACGGGGUGAGAACUAUAUAAAUAUAGUUCCCAGUGGGUUCGGCCGCCGACUCCGCCGAUCUUCCCACUAGGUCCAAGCUGGCACAAAUAGAUAGAUAGAAAGAGAUAUAUGGAAAUAACUGCUACUAUAUCUACUAUGCCAUCAAAUGCAAAGAAUGCAUGGAACAUCAUCUAGCAAUAAUCUACUAUCAUGCUAGUAUGCUUCAACAAUGUAAUGAAUACAACUACAACAUAGAUAUGCGAUCUACUAUGUCUAAUUAUGGUAUGAAUGCAAUCCACUUAUGCAAUUCAUGUUACUAACCAAUCGACUAGGCCAAUCUUGCCUAAGGUCUCAAGUCCAGGAGGUGAAGAGCUACCCCGCUCUUUUCCCGCCUAACUCAUAUCUCAAGGGUCCUAGACAAAGAGCUACCCCGCUCCUUGCCCGACUCAUAUCUCGAAGGUCCGACCCAAUCUCGAAAGUCCUAGGCAAAGAGCUACCCCGCUCCUCACCCGACUCACCUUUCGACGGUCCGACUCAAUCUCGAACAGGUACAGGGCUGCUCUACUCAAAUCUCAUAGUAAAGGUCAACCAUCACACUACUAUAUGCUCAAUAGUUUACCCAAUCACUCGGCUAGCCUAGAGGCUUACUCUCAACCUCACGUCUAUGCUAUAGGUGCCACACCUACUCUCAGUCACACUGGUGAGGAUCCGCUCACUCACCCAACUCUCGACAUAGGUGCCACAAGUCAAUCUCAAUCUAGUGGAUCAGGAACCGCUCACUCAAGGUGAGGACUACUCACUCAACCACCACUCAAUCUCAUGGGUGAGGAACCGCUCACACAAGGUGAGAACUACUCACUCAACCCAGACCGUCUGCGGGGCCCAAAAAGGCUAUCCCUCAAGCUAAUCUCAAUGGGGAGGAUCUGCUCACUCGCCCGACUCAACACCUCAAAGGGGAGGAUCUGCUCACUCGCCCGACUCACGAUCUAAUCACAACGGGGAGGAUCUGCUCACUCGCCCGACUCAACACAGGUACCACAACGCAAUCCCAAUCUCACAGGUGAGGAUCAGCUCACUCACCCGACUCACCUGGGGAGGAUCAGCUCACUCGCCCAAGACUGUCUGCGGGACCCAAACGGCUAUCCCUCGGGACCCCAACGGCUAUCCCUAUCAUGUGACGACUCCGGAGUGCACUGCUUGUGUGGAGCGACCACACCAAGCUUCGAACAGACAUAUGAGUAUGAUCAAAUCCCCGUCACUGAGGAUACCCUACCAUCUAGGGUUAACAACAUAACUCUUUAGGUUCUCUACCCGAAUCACAGCUAGGGAAAUUCAACUAAUCCCUAUACUCAAUAUCAUAAGUGUCGACUACACUAAAUUCUCAUGCCAUAUGCCAUUUCAUGCAAUAUGCCACAAACUAGGGAAAUGCACCUAUUCCCUAUGUUCAAUGCUAUAAGUGUCAACUACACUAGAUUCUCAUGCAAUAUCAUAAUUAGGUUCCAAUGCCACUCGUUAUUGUUAUGAUCAUUGUUUACAUACCACUCAUUCUCAAUACUCUAAUUGUACACAAUGACUAAGUGUUCAUUCAACUAGAGUCUAUCUACAUUAAUCUUGUCAUUAUAGGGUUUCACCACACUAUGUCCCAAUCACAUGCAUACUAGGUACAAGUAUUUAAACAAUUCAACUUUACACUACUCUACUAGCAUGCAAGAAUAUAUAUACAUAAAUAUAUAUUUAUCAUCUAGCACCAUAUAAUGCAAAGCUCGAUAUGCAUAAUUGAUCAACAUAGAGAUACUUAGACAUAGGGAGAAGCCCGAUUGCUUCGGGAUGACACCCCCCACCUUUUAUCGCUAUCACGAGGCUAAGGUUCUGAUUUCGUGAUUUUUGGAAGCUUUCGCCGCAAGCUGCGGCAAUCUGUACCUUAACGGCUUCGUUCUUUAAUAUCUUCACGUAGCCUCGUCGCAUCGCCGAACCGACUUCGCCAACACGUCAGAAAACCUAGCAAUUAGGUUUAUAUAUAUUCAAUUUAGAUCAAAACCCCUCACAAGUAAAACCCCUCUUUUGAUGCCCUAACAUGCAACUUUGCAAGAAUUCAUCAUUUGAUCUCUAAAUUCGAGCAUCAAUCAUCUAUUUAGCAUCUAGGAGUUUCACUAAACCCAUUUCUAAGGCAUAUAAAUCACUACUUAGUAAUCUACCAUUGUUGCUAUCAAAGCUUACCUCUCAAAACCCAAGCUUCUUCAAGCCAUUGAUGACUUCAAGCCAUUGGUGAAGACAAAGAAAGCUUCACCUCUAAGCAAGCUUUUUCUUCUCCAAAUCCUCCUCCAAUUCUCUUUGGUGGAGAAAUUGCUAGAGAGAGAGAGAUCUUGCUCUUUGGUUGUGCACGUGAGGGAAAGAGAGAAAAGGCUACAUCCUUCAUGUAUAUAUACAUAUAGGAAACUUGACCUCCAAGUUUUCUAAGAACACUAUUCACUCCAGGCAGUUCCAAAUCUGAUAUCUUUCGCCGGAACUCCUUGAACAUCCGUUUUAGCUCAAAUUUGACAGUUAUGUUCGGUUUUACUUAACGAGUCCAAAGAAAUUUUAAUAUUUCAGUUUCGACCCCGUUUGGUCACUGAAAACUGUACCGAACUGUAAUCUUUAUCAGAUAACUGUCGGAUUUUAUUUCUCACUCUACGGGUGUCAGAAAAAUAUGAAACCUUAAAUCUAGCCUCAUAAAAAUAUUUCUGACAUCUCUGCCAAUUUUCAUAAUUUUCUGAGACUGUGCAUUUUCUGCUAAUUUAUCUGUCCCGUUUCCAACAGAAAAUUCUAAAUCUUCUGUUUUAAUUCUGAUUUCAGCACAAGUCACUUCUGACUUAUGUUUCACUUCUCUAAAUCCAAUAAAAUAGUAUCUCAUACUAUUUUUUUAUUUAUAUUUAUUUUUAUAUUAAAAAUCCAGCAUACUACAUCCACCGUAACUUCAUAAUUUUAGAAGUCUGGUAC
rnacentral:lncRNA from 1 species